UACGUAGGGGGCGAGCGUUGUCCGGAAUCAUUGGGCGUAAAGCGCGUGUAGGCGGCUCGAUAAGUCCGGUGUGAAACCUUGGGGCUCAACCCCAAGCCUGCACUGGAUACUGCCAAGCUAGAGUCCGGGAGGGGAGAGCGGAAUUCCUAGUGUAGCGGUGAAAUGCGCAGAUAUUAGGAAGAACACCGGUGGCGAAGGCGGCUCUCGUGGAACGGUACUGACGCUGAGACGCGAAAGCGUGGGAGCGAAGAGG
rnacentral:rRNA from 1 species